rnacentral:misc_RNA from 1 species
GAAAUGCGAUAAGUAAUGUGAAUUGCAGAAUUCAGUGAAUCAUCGAAUCUUUGAACGCACAUUGCGCCCGCCAGCAUUCUGGCGGGCAUGCCUGUUCGAGCGUCAUUUCAACCCUAGGGUUGAAAUG